rnacentral:lncRNA from 1 species
UGCUCACAGGGCCUGGUUCAUCCGCAGAGCUGGCCAGCAACUCAGGCUGGGCUCAGCCCUGAGCAGGGUGCCCCCCUUCCCCAAAUCUCAGAAGGAGGAGGGGGAGGCGGGCGGGCAGGCAGUCAGUCGUGGUCCCAAGGGGGACUGGCUGCAGGUUUUUGGGUGAGUGUGGAGUUUCUUUUUGAUUGUUGCAUGUGGGGAAGGGCAGAGUCGACGGGAACAGUCACUGCGGGCACCCUAGCCCUGGUGCGUCUACUGUCCUCUGCUCGGCUCCCCCCAUCGAUCUCGCGAGAGUGGCUGACUGGCUGUGGGGGUUGCGGCGGCAGCAGGCGGAGCCGGGGAGGGAAAGCAGCGGCGGCUGAGGCGACUGAGGCGGCGGGCGGAGCGGCAGGCGGCGGCGGCGCGGCAGCGGAGCGCAGCAUCAUGGCGGACCGAGACAGCGGCAGCGAGCAGGGUGGUGCGGCGCUGGGUUCGGGCGGCUCCCUGGGGCACCCCGGCUCGG